GUGCCAGCAGCCGCGCGGUAAUACGGAGGGUGCAAGCGUUGUCCGGAUUUAUUGGGUUUAAAGGGUGCGUAGGCGGGUGUUUAAGUCAGUGGUGAAAGCCGGCAGCUCAACUGUCGAAUUGCCAUUGAUACUGAACAUCUUGAGUAUAGUUGAGGUAGGCGGAAUGGAAGGUGUAGCGGUGAAAUGCAUAGAUAUCUUCCAGAACACCGAUAGCGUAGGCAGCUUACUAAGCUAUAACUGACGCUGAGGCACGAAAGCAUGGGGAGCGAACAGGAUUAGAUACCCGAGUAGUCC
rnacentral:rRNA from 1 species